rnacentral:rRNA from 1 species
GCACCUACGGGACGCAGCAGUGGGGAAUAUUGCACAAUGGGGGAAACCCUGAUGCAGCGACGCCGCGUGGGCGAGGAAGUACCUCGGUAUGUAAAGCCCUAUCAGCAGGGAAGAAACAGGACAGUACCUGACUAAGAAGCCCCGGCUAACUACGUGCCAGCAGCCGCGGUAAUACGUAGGGGGCAAGCGUUAUCCGGAUUCACUGGGCGUAAAGGGAGCGCAGGCGGCAUGGCAAGUCUGAAGUGAAAGCCCGGGGCUCAACCCCGGGACUGCUUUGGAAACUGUAUGGCUGGAGUGCUGGAGAG